rnacentral:sRNA from 1 species
AUGAGGACAGCGCGCAUUUUCAGUCAACAUUAGGAAUCUUAUAUACUUCUCCAUUAUUUUGCCUCAUUUUGAAUCCUUAGUUUCGGUUCGGUAAAGAGAUGUCCAAUUCUCUUCCCGUCUUGGUAUAAUUAGUAUGGGUAAAAUUGGAGAGAAAAUUAAACAAGUUUUCUUGCACCAAUGUGAUGAUGGAUUUUCCAUGUGAAGAUUGCUAAACUAAUUCGUCCCCAAAUUUCUUUAACCAUUUCUUUUGUGGGCUUGGAUAGGAAGGCUCAACCAAAUAGUGAGCAAGCAAUGGAUACGUACGGCGCUUAGCUUUGUUCCAUGCAUGAGCCGCUGCCCUUUUAGUAUGUAGUAAUACUAGAUUAUCCGUCCGUCGCAUCGGACGGACAUAGAUAGAUAGGCAAGCAAAAAUGACUGACAUGCCUAUCUAUCUAUAUAUAUGUAAUAUCG